CUAGUUACUGUGACAUAUUUGGUAUGGAAUACAUCAUCAGUGAAAGAGAGAGAAGUCAGUUGGUGACCAGGUAGAUGGACAUUAAACAUUGGGGAUGAAAACUCGAAUUGCUGACAAGUUUUUGGUGUGAGCAUCACAUCUCAACAACUAGAGUGAAGAAAUAAUUAUCUAGGAUGGCAAUGAAACACACUGAUCCUACAUUUAUAAUAUGGAUAAAAGAAGAAAAAAAAGACAGGAUCAAAAGUGGAUUUUAGUUGUAAACUCAGCCAUGGCAGCAAUACAAUGAAUCCACUGAAUGCAUCCUUCAUUUGACAGUAAAGAAAUCAGCCAAAGACUGAAUCCUGAUACAGAAAAUAUAAAGAACAAAUGGCAGCAAUUCCAAUUUUAAGUAAAUUUUUAUAUGGAAAACAUUUUCUUCCAUGCAAUCCCAAAUCACAAAAUAAUGAAAAAUUCUCAAAAGUUUUUACUGGAAUACUUUUAAAUUUGUUUUAUUAUCUACCUAUAAACUGCCCUAUUCCUGAAGCCCUGCAAGCUAGGGCUGGGCAACUUGAUAUAAACUUCAGAGGACAAUCUUCAUGCAUGCUGCUGUGUGGGCUGCUAAGGAAGUUCACCAAAACAUCCAAUGACAUAAACUAAGCUUGUCCAACAUGUGGCCCACAGGCUGCAUGCAGCCAAAGAUGGCUUUGAAUGUGGCCCA
rnacentral:lncRNA from 1 species